rnacentral:tRNA from 1 species
GCCAUGUAGUUGAUUUACAACAUUAAAUUGCAGCUUUAAAGAAGUGUUACACACCGUGGCUU